rnacentral:rRNA from 1 species
CAAAAACAUAGCUAGAUGUUAUUAUAUUUAGUGCUUCCUGCUCAAUGAUAUAUUUAAUAGCCGCAGUACCUUGACUGUGCAAAGGUAGCAUAAUCAAUUGGCUUAUAAUUGAAGUCUAGAAUGAAAGGAUAUACGAGUAGUUACUGUAUCUGAUAAUUACUGCAAAAUUAAUUUUCAAGUGCAAAUACUUGUAAAUAACUGUUAGACGAGAAGACCCUAGAAAUUUGUAUUAAUGUUUCGUUGGGGCAACGUAGUAGGAAAACCUACAGUAAAAGACGCGCAGAAAAUUUUCUGGGAGAAAAAAUUACUCUAGGGAUAACAGCAUAAUUUAUAAAAGUUUGUGACCUCGAUGUUGGAUUUGGGAACUAUAGUUCAGAAGACUUUUAAUACCGCUCUGUUCGAGCAUAAUAC